ACACGAAGUGAGUGGCGAACGGGUGAGUAACACGUGGGUAACCUGCCCAGAAGUAGGGGAUAACACCUGGAAACAGAUGCUAAUACCGUAUAACAGAGAAAACCGCAUGGUUUUCUUUUAAAAGAUGGCUCUGCUAUCACUUCUGGAUGGACCCGCGGCGUAUUAGCUAGUUGGUGAGGUAAAGGCUCACCAAGGCAGUGAUACGUAGCCGACCUGAGAGGGUAAUCGGCCACAUUGGGACUGAGACACGGCCCAGACUCCUACGGGAGGCAGCAGUAGGGAAUCUUCCACAAUGGACGAAAGUCUGAUGGAGCAACGCCGCGUGAGUGAAGAAGGGUUUCGGCUCGUAAAGCUCUGUUGUUAAAGAAGAACGUGGGUAAGAGUAACUGUUUACCCAGUGACGGUAUUUAACCAGAAAGCCACGGCUAACUACGUGCCAGCAGCCGCGGUAAUACGUAGGUGGCAAGCGUUAUCCGGAUUUAUUGGGCGUAAAGCGAGCGCAGGCGGUCUUUUAAGUCUAAUGUGAAAGCCUUCGGCUCAACCGAAGAAGUGCAUUGGAAACUGGGAGACUUGAGUGCAGAAGAGGACAGUGGAACUCCAUGUGUAGCGGUGAAAUGCGUAGAUAUAUGGAAGAACACCAGUGGCGAAGGCGGCUGUCUGGUCUGCAACUGACGCUGAGGCUCGAAAGCAUG
rnacentral:rRNA from 1 species